GAUGAACGCUGGCGGCGUGCCUAAUACAUGCAAGUCGAGCGAACGGACGAGAAGCUUGCUUCUCUGAUGUUAGCGGCGGACGGGUGAGUAACACGUGGAUAACCUACCUAUAAGACUGGGAUAACUUCGGGAAACCGUAGCUAAUACCGGAUAAUAUUUUGAACCGCAUGGUUCAAAAGUGAAAGACGGUCUUGCUGUCACUUAUAGAUGGAUCCGCGCUGCAUUAGCUAGUUGGUAAGGUAACGGCUUACCAAGGCAACGAUGCAUAGCCGACCUGAGAGGGUGAUCGGCCACACUGGAACUGAGACACGGUCCAGACUCCUACGGGAGGCAGCAGUAGGGAAUCUUCCGCAAUGGGCGAAAGCCUGACGGAGCAACGCCGCGUGAGUGAUGAUGGUCUUCGGAUCGUAAAACUCUGUUAUUAGGGAAGAACAUAUGUGUAAGUAACUGUGCACAUCUUGACGGUACCUAAUCAGAAAGCCACGGCUAACUACGCG
rnacentral:rRNA from 1 species